GGGCCCGUAGCUCAGUGGUCAGAGCUGCCGACUCAUAAUCGGUAGGUCGCAGGUUCAAAUCCUGCCGGGCCCA
rnacentral:tRNA from 2 species